CCGUUUCUCUUACGUCCUUUUCAGUAUGUUAAAUAGCAUUGGAAGCUCAUUAAUUAAUUGAUAUAUGAAUUCUUGGAAGAUAUUUUCUCAUGUUUUAUUGUAUGUGGGUGAAAAUGACCAGUGGAUGGUGCAUUUCUGCUGCCAACUCCAUCAACACAUAACUGGUGAAUUUCAUGUUUUUCCUCCAAUCAACAGAGAGUUCAUAAAACCUAACGUGCCAGCUGAUUGGCUCUCAGUAACUGUAAACAAUUUGAACACAGUUUUCAGGGGUGUGCCCCAAUUAAUUGAUCAAUACACACAGCGUUUUUAACUGAUGUUUUGUUGACAGCUAUACAACUACAUAGUUCUUACAAUUUAAAGCAAUGGAUCAGGACCCUUCAAUAGGUUUUAAAGCCCUAAACAUUAAUUCAAACAAGGUUUCAAUUGGUAUGUUGUUUUAUAUGGUACAUUUGAUUUUCUUGACAUUGUAAAAUUGUGAGUGGUACUUUGAGGAAAGAAAACUAAUGGAUGAUGAAAAGUCACAUUUGGUGUCGAAUUAAAGGCACCAGCCUCUUUUCAAACAAUGUAAACCUGUGACAUACUCAUUUCAGGGACAGCUGACUGACCACACAGAUGUGCCUGACAUUAACAGCAAGGUGUCAUCAUCUACUGCUUCGCCAUGACAUUAAUCUGAGAACGGCCCUGACACCAGAGGAGUAUCUGAGAGACGAAGUGGACCGUGCUAGAAAGAAGAUAUGACCUUGACAUCGUUCCACAAGGAUGGAGAACAGAUUUUCAACAGCGGGACUUUAGAGGAACGGGAGAACAGGUUUCCCCAUGUCGCAAUUUGGUUGCACCACCUAUAAACGAAUGCCUUUCUUCAACACCUAGAGGACCACUGCUGUUGGUUCCUUGGAUGUAUUAAGAGAGCUGGAUACGUCGCCACCGCUCAGCCCUGCGGCUAAGGUGUCCUAGUGGUCACUCGUGGUAUUGCAAUGAAAAGAAAUCCUUCGAGCUCCAUGAUAAAACGUCUGUGAAACUGUCAACAGGACAUCUGCGACUGCAAACAAGGUGAGUUAUUACUCUUUCUUUUAUGAAUUUUUAACCCAUGAAAAUUAGAAAAGAUUUUUGGCUUAAGUGCCAGGUGAGAGACCUUCAUUCAUCACACACCCAUGGUAGGGUUUAGGAAAACAAAGCAGUCUUCUGGCUGCACCGCAUUCUGGUUUUCUGACACCACACAACGGCUGAAUACAUUAUGAGCUUAUUUUUGAUGGAUUUGUUUGUGUACGAUUGAUGGACGUCGAGGCAAAACUACAGCUGUAGAAAAGCGUCUUUGCUCCUUGAUUUUGAAACAAAACCAGCAAGUGCAGAAAUGGAGAACGCACCACCAGUAUAUCUGUUCUUUAAAGGUGCCGAGUUGAGUCUCGUGCUUUAAGAAUCAUCAGGCCUGAUUUCAAGUCAGUCUGAAGCCACACCUCUACCGAACCAGCAAACGACUAUCCCUGUUGCUGGGCAUCCACUCAAUCCACCCUCCUCUCUGCCUGAUCCUGCUGAACUCAGCACUCUGCCUCACCCACCCUGAGGCAUUAUGGGAGUUCACAGAGCGCACUACAAGGUGGUGUGGGGGGUGGUGGUGCUAAUUAGUGGGAACAGGCUUCAAGUAUGGGUUUGUUUACAGGAGGAUCUAAUAAAGCAAAGAAUAAAAUCUUCUCUCAUUCAGCCGGUUGUAGACAUUAUGAACCGAGGUGCCUCGUACAGUGAAAAUAUUAUGACAGAAGACCUGAGCUGCUCUGCUCCGUCCU